AACGAACGCUGGCGGCAGGCCUAGUACAUGCAAGUCGAGCGCCCAGCAAUGGGAGCGGCGCACGGGUGCGUAACGCGUGGGAAUAUGCCUUUAGGUACGGAACAACCAAGGGAAACUUUGGCUAAUACCGUAUAAUAUCUUCGGAUCAAAGAAUUUCGCCUAAAGAUUAGCCCGCGUCUGAUUAGCUAGUUGGUGGGGUAAAGGCCUACCAAGGCGACGAUCAGUAGCUGGUCUGAGAGGAUGAUCAGCCACACUGGAACUGAGACACGGUCCAGACUCCUACGGGAGGCAGCAGUAAGGAAUAUUGGACAAUGGGGGCAACCCUGAUCCAGCCAUGUCGCGUGAGUGACGAAGGCCUUAGGGUUGUAAAGCUCUUUUGGUGGGGAAGAUAAUGACUGUACCCACAGAAUAAGCCCCGGCUAAAUUCGUGCCAGCCGCCGCAGUAA
rnacentral:rRNA from 1 species